CAAAAGCCACGCCCUUGAAAGUAGAAGAGAACGUGAAAAAUCCAAUCUCGCGUAUGUGGGUGACCUCGCUAAAGCAAGCCUGCCCAACGGUCAGCCUUGAAAGACGGAGAGAAGAGAAAACCAAAGAUAUCAAUACAAGAGGCUAAUCCUGCUUAUUUCGGUAUUGGAGAAGGAUAUCACGAGAAUAUUGCUUUGAAGAAAACGCACCGGUAGCUUGGAAAAAAAAAGGAAUGUAAGUAUAAACAAUAU